UUGCUCGUUUUGGCAGCACAUAUGCUAAAAUUGGAAUAAUCAAAGAUUAGCAGGGUCCCUGUGCAAGGAUGACAUGCAAAUUUGUGAAGUGUUCCGUAUUUUU